rnacentral:lncRNA from 1 species
GGAACCACUGAUCUAGUCCAAACUGCUCAUGGUGCAGAUAAGAACACUGAAGCACCCUCGGGACUUUCCCAGAGUCGUACAUGGUGGGAACACUUUGGACAGGCUGAAGAAGGGAGAACAGGGUGUCCAGGUUCAAUCAAGGCACACAUCUUCUCUUACCAGAGACAUAGACAUGGAGCCUCAGAUGCAACACUCAACACGACGAAGCCCCAAACUAUAGAAGCUGAAAAGUAAUUGAAUCCUCAUUUCCAUCAUCCAGAGCCGAGUCUGCAGAAGGACUGUCCUGCCUGUACAUCCUCUGUCUGUGCCACCCUCUGCCUCCUACUGCUGAACUCUGUUGUGUGAGGACGUGGGCUUGGCCAACCUGCAAUCAAGAGAGGAGGAUCAGGAGAAUCUCAGAGUCACCCACCCAGAGGCCUACUUCCCUGAGCUUCUGAGCCAACUUCCUUCCUCUGACUUCCUGACAACCAGGAAAACCAAACCCC